GAAAUGCGAUAAGUAAUGUGAAUUGCAGAAUUCAGUGAAUCAUCGAAUCUUUGAACGCACAUUGCGCCCAUUAGUAUUCUAGUGGGCAUGCCUGUUCGAGCGUCAUUUCAACCCCUAAGCACAGCUUAUUGUUGGGCGUCUACGUCUGUAGUGCCUCAAAGACAUUGGCGGAGCGGCAGCAGUCCUCUGAGCGUAGUAAUUCUUUAUCUCGCUUCUGUUAGGCGCUGCCCCCCCGGCCGUAAACCCCCCAAUUUUUUCUGGUUGACCUCGGAUCAGGUAGGAAUACCCGCUGAACUUAAGC
rnacentral:misc_RNA from 1 species